GAGUUUGAUUAUGGCUCAGAUUGAACGCUGGCGGCAGGCUUAACACAUGCAAGUCGAACGAUGAUUACUAGCUUGCUAGUAUGAUUAGUGGCGAACGGGUGAGUAAUGCUUAGGAAUCUGCCUAUUAGUGGGGGACAACAUUCCGAAAGGAAUGCUAAUACCGCAUACGUCCUACGGGAGAAAGCAGGGGAUCGUUUGACCUUGCGCUAAUAGAUGAGCCUAAGUCGGAUUAGCUAGUUGGUGGGGUAAAGGCCUACCAAGGCGACGAUCUGUAGCUGGUCUGAGAGGAUGAUCAGCCACACUGGGACUGAGACACGGCCCAGACUCCUACGGGAGGCAGCAGUGGGGAAUAUUGGACAAUGGGCGAAAGCCUGAUCCAGCCAUGCCGCGUGUGUGAAGAAGGCCUUUUGGUUGUAAAGCACUUUAAGUGGGGAGGAAAAGCUAAUAAUUAAUACCUAUUAGCCCUGACGUACCCACAGAAUAAGCNCCGGUA
rnacentral:rRNA from 1 species